AUGCUAUCUAUUAAAAUUUUUUUUGAAACAUUCACUACUUUACCCAAAAUACUUCACUGUUGGGUAUAUUAUUGCAAUAUAAAAAAAAAAAAAAUGUACAUCUUACCUCAAAUCUCGUUUCUGCAAGUCUUCUGCAACACAAAACUGUUAAAAAAAAAUAAUAAUCACAUUAAAAGAAAACACAAAGACUUCUCACUACAUUUCAAGCUUUUUCCAGCACUGACAAUAAUGAAAUGGUCACCUCCAGCUGGCCUGUGGACAAAACCCAUACAGCGUUUCUAAAGACAGAAAUAGGCGGAGGCGGCCUUACUACAAACGCUUAAUAACAUUCAUCACGUGUCUUCACCAUGCACUGCAAAUGCCACGUUGUCCUGCCGACGCAUUUCACGUGCUAUACGAUAUAAUUAAUUCGAUUUCGAACGCGAUAUGUCGAGCUUGUCAAUGAACUACGGAUCUGUGUAAAGAAUGGCGCUCAAUCUGAAACAGCUGAUGGAGAUUUAAUUACUGAUCACGUCAUCGCUUUACUGACGAGAUAAGCAUGACAAUCGCAUGCGAUUAAUUGCACCGCCCUAACAUGAACUACUAACUAUUAAAUUAAUAAUAACAGUCACAACAACACAAAUAUUGUAAAAAUGGCGAUUUAUUCCCUUUAUAAUCAAAAUUCUGACCUGGUCGAUUACGAAACUAGUACUGAAAUAAAACGAUGCCUUUCAACAUUUUUGCACAAAAUACAGCCACACAAACAUUCAAACACACAGAAAACAACUUAGACUGACUUAAUAAUACCAUGGAUGAGUAAUAUUAAUACUCAGAUGAUUAAGAUUACACAGAGAGCAACUCCACCGCAUGUCUUACCUUGUUUUGCAAGUUGAGAAAAAUGGUUUCCUUUCCGGGAAACAGGAAGACGUUCUGUCUAACAAUAAAUCACACUCCCUCUAGUGGAUGGAAUAAUAAAUACACGUUAUGAUUACUGGUAAAUCUGAAAAUUAUGUAACAAAGAGAAGACUUGCAGUUAGUAUUUUAUUUUAUUUAUUUAACUCAAAAUAAUAUUAAUAAUAUUUCAGAUGAAUAAUACAUUUCUUUUUUUUUUACAGGGUUUGAUUUUGGAUUCAUAUUACCUACCAUACAUAGCAUAAAAUCUAUCAUUUAUUAAAAUAUCUGUAUCUAAAUGUGUACUAUUCUCUCAGUACAAUUCUCUAGACUCUCCAGGUCAAUAGUUAUUUAAAAAAAAAAACUUGAACAUGUGCAUUUGGACAACAAUAAACCAGUCAUUUUAAGAUAUGAUCUUUAAAUAGUGUACUCAAAUGCCUAUUAAUACGAAAACAAAUUCCACAAAUUCUUAAAACGGUGUAAAAUGAUGCAUAAUUUAAUUUAUAAUAAACAAUAAUUAUAUUAUAAUAAACAACCAUGCAAAAUUUAAGAGAGAUUGGGCAAAAAAUAACACUAUAAUAGUUAUAAAAUUUAAACACAGUAUUCUAUGAGAAAUUGCCAUUUAUAACCACUAGAUGGCAGAGGAAGUACACUAAUGUGCUCAUUCAACUAACUUAGUACUGUUCAAACCUUUUAUGGAUUCAUGCUUAACCAUUUUAAAACCACUGUUACGACAUUUUUAAAUCUCAUUGAGUCAAAGUUUUUCCAUUUUGUUCAUACAGACAUAUCACUUUUUUUACAAUUUUUGCCACAUUAUGAUUACAGUGAAACCUGAAAAUGACAUCUAUUUUUUUUUUUUUUUAAUUUAUUUGUUCUGCACGGAUAUCACAUGGAUACAGUACAAGGAGGGGAACGAAACCCAAUUGGGUUUAUACAAAGUUCCAGUCCACUUACAUGAAUAAACAAAAAAAAAAAAACUCUUAAAAUGAAGACUUGCAAUAAGUUUUGUAUCACAUAUCACUUAUUUCAAAUAUUUAUAUCUGUAACAAAAUAUGUGUGCAUGUGUGUCUGUGAAUAUGCUUAUAGAUUAUUAAUAUACUAUUUUAAUCAUUUAAUUUCAGUAUGUGUGUAUGUAUGUUAUAUGUCCGUGAGCCUAUUCUCCAUUUUGGAUAUAACUGUCAGCUGUACAUCCAGAUUGACCUAGACCACCUCAAAGAUCUUAAAAUGCUUGAACCCCGGUAAUCGCUGCUUGCAGCUAUAUUUAUUAUUAUUAUUAUUAUUAUUAUUAUUAUUAUUCUUCCGCCCUAAAACUGAUCGUGCAGCCCAAACCGUAAGGCCUAGAGACUUGAAACUUGGCCAGAUCGUAGAGCUCAAUUUGGGGAGAACCUAUCAAAGUCUCGACCCCAAUCGGCCUAAACGGGGGCGCUACAGCGCAAAAAACAAAAAUUUCAGACAUUUUUGGCUGUAGCUCGUAAACCGUUUGUCGUAGACUCAAAAACAUGGCAUCGUUGCAAUCCUUGGGUUAGCCCGAACAAAAUUGCUCUGCUGCUUUUUUCGCUCUACGGCGCAUCGUUU
ensembl:lncRNA